ensembl:lncRNA
AUGGUUUGGGUUGGAAGGAUCAUCCACUUCCAGCAUUUCCACCAUCCCAGGAUGCUCCAAGCCCUGUCUGACCCACCCUUGGACAUUCCAGGGAUUUGGGGCAGGCACAGCUUCUCUGGGAAUUCCAUUCCAGCCAGGAGUUCCUUCCAAAAUCCCACCCCAAUUCCCCUUUUCCAAUCGGGAACCAUUCCCUGGCUCCUGCCCCUCCAGGCCUUUCCCAAAUUCCAGCUCUCCCAGAGCCCCUCCAGGCCCUGGAAUGUGCUGGAAGCUCUCCCUGGAUCCUUCCCUUCUCCAGGAGAACAUUCCCAGCUCUCCCAGCCUGGCUCCAGAGCAUGGGGGCUCCAGCCCUCAGAGCAAUUCCAUGGAUUCCUCUGGAUUUGUUCCAGGUCCUUCUCCAGCCUCCCAUUCCUGGCCGCCUCUCCAGGUUUUCCUGGGAUGAUGCCGAGGGUGAGGGAUUGCUCUGAGUCCCAUCUGGGAUUUUUCCAUGGAAUCCUGGGAUGGUUGAGGUCGGGAAAGGCCUCGUUGAGGAACUGUCCCCCAGCACAGCCGUGUCCCCAAGUGCCACCUCCAGCUCACCCCGAAAUCCCUGCAGGGAUGGGGAUUCUCCUGGGCUUUUCCCGGAUUCCCUUUGGGAUUUUCCUUCCCACUUCUCCGGGGAUUCACUCCCUGGCUCUCCUCUCCCAAUCCUGCUGCCAGACACGAUCCAAGAGCUUGAGGAGCUGCUGCUGCUGCCUGUGGAUCACCAUCCAUCCCUUUUUCCACCUCAUCAUCAUCCAGGCCACAUUCCGACUCCAGGAACCUCCACACGGACAUUCCUUGGAUCCUCCCGCCAGGUGCCACCGCCUGUCCCACCCCGAGCUGCGCGUGUCCCCACGGGAUGAGAAUUCCUGGUGGGGGCUGAAGCAGAGCUGUGGUUUUUCCUUCCUGGAAUGCUGGAAUUCCUGGAAUUCUGCUUUCCUGGAAUUCUUCCUGGAAUCCUUUCUGGAUUUCUUCAUUCCUUCCUUCCUGGAAUCCUUCCUUCCUUCCUGGAAUUCUUCCUUCCUUCCUGGAUUUCUGCCUUCCUUUCUUUCCUGGAAUUCUUCCUGGAAUCCUUCCUUCCUUCCUGGAAUUCUUUCUGGAAUCAAUCCUUUCUCCCUUCCUGGAAUCUUCCCUUCUUCCUUCCUGGAAUCUUUCUUUCCUUCCUGGAAUCAAUCUUUUCUUUCUUCCUGGAUUCUUUCCUUCCCAGAAUCCUUCCUUCCUUCCUUCUCUGAAUCUUUCCUUCCUGGGAUCUUCCCUUCCUUCCCAGAAUUCUUCCUUUCUGGAAUCAAUCCUUUCUCCCUUCCUGGAAUCUUUCUUUCCUUCCUGGAAUCUUUCUUUCCUUCCUGGAAUCAAUCUUUUCUUCCUUCCUGGAUUCUUUCCUUCCCAGAAUCCUUCCUUCCUUCCUUCUCUGAAUCUUUCCUUCCUGGAAUCUUCCCUUCCUUCCCAGAAUUCUUCCUUUCUGGAAUCAAUCCUUCCUUCCUUCCUUCCCGGAAUCCUUCCAUCAUUCCUGGGAUCCUUCCUGGAAUCUUCCCUUCCUUCCCGGAAUCCUUCCAUCAUUCCUGGGAUCCUCCUGGAAUCUUUCCUUCCUGGAAUCCCGUACCUGCUGCUUGGCCACCCCAAAUCCCCACGGAUCCCCGUCCACCCCUCCAGCUUCUCCAAACCAUUCCCACAGCAGGGCUUUGCUCCCAUCCACAGGCAGAAUUUUUGGGAGCUUCUCCGUCAUUCCCGAGGAUUCUGAUCCGUGGGGCGUUAUCCCAUCCCUCAGCCAGGAAAUUCCCGCUUCCCACCAGGAAGCGGAGAUGGCACAAGAGCGAGGAUUUAAAAAAACCCCACCCUGAAACAUGA